GACGAACCGUGCAAACGUUGUUCGGAAUCACUGGGCUUAAAGGGCGCGUAGGCGGGCAAGCAAGUCCGGGGUGAAAUCUUUCGGCCCAACCGGAAAAGGGCCUUGGAUACUGCUUGUCUGGAGGGAGGUAGGGGCAGACGGAACUUCCGGUGGAGCGGUGAAAUGCGUUGAGAUCCACCGGAACUCCGGCGGCGAAGGCGGCGUGCUGGACCCGGCCUGACGCUGAGGCGCGAAAGCCAGGGGAGCGAACGGG
rnacentral:rRNA from 1 species